CCUACGGGAGGCUGCAGUGAGGAAUAGUGGUCAAUGGGCGCGAGCCUGAACCAGCCAAGUAGCGUGAAGGAUGACUGCCCUACGGGGUGUAAACUUCUGUUAUAAAGGAAUAAAGUGAGGCACGUGUGCCUUUUUGUAUGUACUUUAUGAAUAAGGAUCGGCUAACUCCGUGCCAGCAGCCGCGGUAAUACGGAGGAUCCGAGCGUUAUCCGGAUUUAUGGGGUUUAAAGGGAGCGUAGAUGGGUUGUUAAGUCAGUUGUGAAAGUUUGCGGCUCAACCGUAAAAUUGCAAUUGAUACUGGCAGUCUUGAGUACAGUUGAGGUAGGCGGCAUUCGUGUUGUAGCUGUGCAAUGCUUCGAUAUCACG
rnacentral:rRNA from 1 species